CACGCCGUAAACGAUGGAUACUAGGUGUAGGGGGUAUCGACCCCUUCUGUGCCGGAGUUAACACAAUAAGUAUCCCACCUGGGGAGUACGACCGCAAGGUUGAAACUCAAAGGAAUUGACGGGGGCCCGCACAAGCAGUGGAGUAUGUGGUUUAAUUCGAAGCAACGCGAAGAACCUUACCAGGACUUGACAUCCCUUGACACCUCUAGAGAUAGAGAUUUUCUUCGGAACAAGGUGACAGGUGG
rnacentral:rRNA from 1 species